rnacentral:rRNA from 1 species
CCUACGGGGGGCAGCAGUGGGGAAUAUUGCACAAUGGGGGGAACCCUGAUGCAGCGACGCCGCGUGAGUGAAGAAGUAUUUCGGUACGUAAAGCUCUAUCAGCAGGGAAGAAAAAAAGACGGUACCUGAGUAAGAAGCCCCGGCUAACUACGUGCUAGCAGCCGCGGUAAUACGUAGGGGGCAAGCGUUAUCCGGAAUGAUUGGGCGUAAAGGGUGCGCAGGCGGUCCUGCAAGUCUGGAGUGAAACGCAUGAGCUCAACUCAUGCAUGGCUUUGGAAACUGGAGGACUGGAGAGCAGGAGAGGG